AUGUGGUUGAAAGAGCAAAUAAUGUCUUGCCAAUUCAGAAAUGUGACAUUCCUCCUGGUGCUAAGAUUGGUGAUGUUAUUCAGUGUACAAAUGAGGAUGAAAGGGUUGGUCAUUGUGGUAUGAUUCAUGUGUUGUUCUAACAUCUGAUGCAUCUUAUGGUGGUAGUGCUACAGUGUGGGUUUGAAUGGAUGGAGCACAAAAUGGAGAGCAAAGAUGUUCCAGUUACUACAUUCUAUUAGCGUCAGUCAGG